UACGUAGGGUGCGAGCGUUAAUCGGAAUUACUGGGCGUAAAGAGUGCGUAGGCGGUUCGUUAUGUCUGCUGUGAAAGCCCCGGGCUUAACCCGGGAAUGGCAGUGGAAACUGGCGGGCUUGAGUGUGGCAGAGGGGGGUGGAAUUCCGCGUGUAGCAGUGAAAUGCGUAGAGAUGUGGAGGAACACCGAUGGCGAAGGCAGCCCCCUGGGCCAAUACUGACGCUCAUGCACGAAAGCGUGGGGAGCAAACAGG
rnacentral:rRNA from 1 species